AGCUCUCGGACUUGUCCAAAUACUUCUUCCCCAGCACCAUUCGGCUUAUUAUACUGAGACUGGCGUUUGAGAGGUGGUCGCUGAGGUUAACAGGCCUCCCUGAGGAGUUGAAGAGGUCCCGGAGGAGGUUCUUGACCUCCUCCACUCUUAUGUACUUAUAAGAGUCCAGCCUUCUCGCACUGAAGAGCUCCGUCAUGCACAUCUUGCGUGCCUGGCGCCAGUAUGGGCCGUAUUGGGACCAACCGAUGUUGGAGUAGUUGUAGGCGGUCCACUUGCCGGCGGCGGUCUUGGGCCGGCCACAGAAGGUGACAUCAUGGGUCUUUAGGAUGAGCUUGGCCGUGUCGACGGAGGAGGCGACGAUGACCGGAAAGGAGCCGAAAUAAAGGUGCAUGAGGGGGCCGUACUUCUGCGAGAGAGCGUGAAGGGAGCGGUGGGGGAGGGAGCUGAUGAGGUUGAGGUUUCCGAUGACGGGAGUGAACCCCUUGACACCACGCCUCUCAAGCUUGACCUCCAAGUUGGGAUCGUCGGCAAGUAGCAGGAGAACAUCGACCAUGUCCUUGGUCACAAACUUCUCCCCCUCCCGUCGCCGCCUCUCGCCGUGUUCAUCAAGCACAUGCUCGAGGAACCUAUCGAACUUCUUGCCAAUCUUCUUCAUCCUCUUGAUGUAGCCUUGCAAGUCUAAGAAAUCCAGCCAUGGUAUCGAAUCUCCGAUGUUCAUGACGCCGUUAAGCAACAUGAACUCGUCGAGCAUCGCCUUGAACUCCACCGGCGACACAACUGAGCUCUCGGACUUGUCCAAAUACUUCUUCCCCAGCACCAUUCGGCUUAUUAUACUGAGACUGGCGUUUGAGAGGUGGUCGCUGAGGUUAACAGGCCUCCCUGAGGAGUUGAAGAGGUCCCGGAGGAGGUUCUUGACCUCCUCCACUCUUAUGUACUUAUAAGAGUCCAGCCUUCUCGCACUGAAGAGCUCCGUCAUGCACAUCUUGCGGGCCUGGCGCC
rnacentral:lncRNA from 1 species